UUCUGUGAUUGCUUCUGAGGUAACAGAAGUAGUCUACAAGAAUGAGCAAUGAGGAACCUAUGAGUAGGAAAAGUUAGCAUAUAUAUGCAUGUGGGUGAGUUUUUUAGUCAGUCAGGUGAUCUUCAAGUUAUUCUAAACCAUAAAACCUUUGCUUGAGGAAAAUGUUUGAAAAAGAUGCUGAAUGCUGUUCUGUCCAGAUGACAAAACUGCAGAAAUACAGCUGUUGCUGUAUCUCGGGAGUAUCAAAGGAGGCAUCAACCAAAGUGGACAAAUUUACUCUGACAUUUAAACACUUCUUGUUGUGUGAGGAAUGAAAGAAACGUACUCCAAAGACUUCCUGGCAAAUUAAGUGGAAGGAACUUCUUGUGCCUUUUUGAUACAAAACGUAUUAGCAGAUGAGAAACAUUGUGUUCUUUUGUGAAGCCACACAUCCUUGAGUACUGUGCUGACAUCUUGCAAAAUGAAGCCAUCAGCAAUGUUUGAGUGUGAGCAUCCAUGUCCCAGCUGAGGCUUUAUUAUGCUCUACAGCCAGGCAGGCAUUGUAUCCAUGGCCUUUCUCAUGCUUCCCUCUAGGCAAGGAGACUUUGGCAUAUUUGAUCUAUAACUAACCACGACUCACAAAGCCUUGACAAAGACUGCUGUCAUAUGUACUGGAGACAGAUCCUCAAAUCAGAAUGUAGAAUUAAAUCCAUGUGCUCCCCAAGCCCUUUUAUAAAGCAGAAGUGGAGUUAC